AACGAACGCUGGCGGCAGGCCUAACACAUGCAAGUCGAGCGAAGCCUUCGGGCUUAGCGGCGGACGGGUGAGUAACGCGUGGGAACGUGCCCUUUGCUACGGAAUAGCCCCGGGAAACUGGGAGUAAUACCGUAUGUGCCCUUCGGGGGAAAGAUUUAUCGGCAAAGGAUCGGCCCGCGUUGGAUUAGGUAGUUGGUGGGGGAAUGGCCUACCAAGCCGACGAUCCAUAGCUGGUUUGAGAGGAUGAUCAGCCACACUGGGACUGAGACACGGCCCAGACUCCUACGGGAGGCAGCAGUGGGGGAUCUUAGACAAUGGGGGAAACCCUGAUCUAGCCAUGCCGCGUGAUCGAUGAAGGCCUUAGGGUUGUAAAGAUCUUUCAGUGGGGAAGAUAAUGACUGUACCCACAGAAGAAGCCCCGGCUAACUCCGUGCCAGCCGCCGCGGUAA
rnacentral:rRNA from 1 species